AGUGAACGCUGGCGGUAGGCCUAACACAUGCAAGUCGAACGGCAGCACAGUAAGAGCUUGCUCUUACGGGUGGCGAGUGGCGGACGGGUGAGGAAUACAUCGGAAUCUACUUUUUCGUGGGGGAUAACGUAGGGAAACUUACGCUAAUACCGCAUACGACCUACGGGUGAAAGCAGGGGAUCUUCGGACCUUGCGCGAUUGAAUGAGCCGAUGUCGGAUUAGCUAGUUGGCGGGGUAAAGGCCCACCAAGGCGACGAUUCGUAGCUGGUCUGAGAGGAUGAUCAGUCACACUGGAACUGGGACACGGUCCAGACUCCUACGGGAGGCAGCAGUGGGGAAUAUUGGCCACUGGGCGCAUGCCUGUUCCAGCCAUACCGCGUGGGUGAAGGAGGCCUUCGGGUUGUAAAGCCAUUUUGUUGGGAAAGAAAAGCAGCAGGUUAAUACCCCGCUGUUCUGACGGUACCCAAAGAAUAAGCAACGGCUAACUUCGUG
rnacentral:rRNA from 1 species